rnacentral:rRNA from 1 species
GAUGAACGCUGGCGGCGUGCCUAAUACAUGCAAGUCGAGCGAACAGACGAGGAGCUUGCUCCUCUGACGUUAGCGGCGGACGGGUGAGUAACACGUGGAUAACCUACCUAUAAGACUGGGAUAACUUCGGGAAACCGGAGCUAAUACCGGAUAAUAUAUUGAACCGCAUGGUUCAAUAGUGAAAGACGGUUUUGCUGUCACUUAUAGAUGGAUCCGCGCCGCAUUAGCUAGUUGGUAAGGUAACGGCUUACCAAGGCAACGAUGCGUAGCCGACCUGAGAGGGUGGUCGGCCACACUGGAACUGGGCCACGGUCCAGACUCCUGCGGGAGGCAGCAGUAGGGAAUCUUCCGCAAUGGGCGAAAGCCUGACGGAGCAACGCCACGUGAGUGAUGAAGGUCUUCGGAUCGUAAAACUCUGUUAUUAGGGAAGAACAAAUGUGUAAGUAACUAUGCACGUCUUGACGGUACCUAAUCAGAAAGCCACGGCUAACUACGUG